GAUGAACGCUGGCGGCGUGCCUAACACAUGCAAGUCGAGCGAUUUACUUCGGUAAAGAGCGGCGGACGGGUGAGUAACGCGUGGGUAACCUGCCCUAUACACACGGAUAACAUACCGAAAGGUAUGCUAAUACGAGAUAACAUAAGAGAUUCGCAUGGAUUUCUUAUCAAAGCUUUUGCGGUAUAGGAUGGACCCGCGUCUGAUUAGCUAGUUGGUAAGGUAACGGCUUACCAAGGCGACGAUCAGUAGCCGACCUGAGAGGGUGAUCGGCCACAUUGGAACUGAGACACGGUCCAAACUCCUACGGGAGGCAGCAGUGGGGAAUAUUGCACAAUGGGCGAAAGCCUGAUUCACGGUCAUAGAAAGCCUGAUGCMGCAACGCCGCGUGAGCGAUGAAGGCCUUCGGGUCGUAAAACUCUGUCCUCAAGGAAGAUAAUGACGGUACUUGAGGAGGAAGCCCCGGCUAACUACGUGCCAGCAGCCGCGGUAAUACGUAGGGGGCUAGCGUUAUCCGGAAUUACUGGGCGUAAAGGGUGCGUAGGUGGUUUCUUAAGUCAGAAGUGAAAGGCUACGGCUCAACCGUAGUAAGCUUUUGAAACUGAGAAACUUGAGUGCAGGAGAGGAGAGUAGAAUUCCUAGUGUAGCGGUGAAAUGCGUAGAUAUUAGGAGGAAUACCAGUUGCGAAGGCGGCUCUCUGGACUGUAACUGACACUGAGGCACGAAAGCGUGGGGAGCAAACAGGAUUAGAUACCCUGGUAGUCCACGCCGUAAACGAUGAGUACUAGCUGUCGGAGGUUACCCCCUUCGGUGGCGCAGCUAACGCAUUAAGUACUCCGCCUGGGAAGUACGCUCGCAAGAGUGAAACUCAAGGAAUUGACGGGGACCCGCACAAGUAGCGGAGCAUGUGGUUUAAUUCGAAGCAACGCGARAACCUUACCUAAGCUGACAUCCMCUGACCCUUCCCUAAUCGAGUUCCCUUCGGGACAGUGUGAMAGGUGGUGCAUGUGUCGUCRCUCUGUCUGAAUGUGGUAGUCCGCACGACGCACUGCUAGUGCCACAUUAGUGGCACYURAGGACKCCAGUAACCUGAGAGGKGGACGACGYCAAUCCCAKUCCGUUACCUUGGCCCUACCCGUGGUCWMWUU
rnacentral:rRNA from 1 species